CGAAAGGCGCUCUGUACACUCGUUUGUUUUCCGAUGGAGCCAGGUGUGUAUGAACCUGCCGCUCUUGUUAAUGUAGUUAGUGUCUACACGGACCAGGUGUGUAUGAACCUGCCGCUCUUGUUAAUGUAGUUAGUGUCUACACGGACCCAGUUGGGUGUUGCACUAGGGAAUCAGCACGUUACAAUAAAGAAGGAUUUAUGCGUG